rnacentral:rRNA from 1 species
UACUACGGGAGGCAGCAGUAGGGAAUCUUCCGCAAUGGACGAAAGUCUGACGGAGCAACGCCGCGUGAGCGAUGAAGGCCUUCGGGUCGUAAAGCUCUGUUGUCAGGGAAAAACAAGUACCGGAGUAACUGCCGGUACCUUGACGGUACCUGACCAGAAAGCCACGGCUAACUACGUGCCAGCAGCCGCGGUAAUACGUAGGUGGCAAGCUUUGUCCGGAAUUAUUGGGCGUAAAGCGCGCGCAGGCGGUUCCUUAAUUCUGAUGUGAAAACCCCCGGCUCCCCCGGGGAGGGUCAUUGAAAACUGGGGAACUUGAAUGCAAAAAAGGAAAACGAAAUCCCCCCUUUAGCGGAAAAAUGCCCAAAAAUUUGAAGGAACACCUGUGGCAAAGGCGGCUCUCUGGUCUGUAACUGACCCGAAGGCCCAAAAACGGGGGGACCAAACAGGAAUAAAAACCCCUGGUAGCCCCCCCCC